AUUGAACGCUGGCGGCAGGCCUAACACAUGCAAGUCGAACGAGUGGCGGACGGGUGAGUAAUGUAUGGGAAACUGCCCGAUAGAGGGGGAUAACUACUGGAAACGGUGGCUAAUACCGCAUACUAUCGGAUGAACCCAUAUGGGAUUAGCUAGUAGGUGGGGUAAAGGCUCACCUAGGCGACGAUCCCUAGCUGGUCUGAGAGGAUGAGCAGCCACACUGGAACUGAGACACGGCCCAGACUCCUACGGGAGGCAGCAGUGGGGAAUAUUGCACAAUGGGCGCAAGCCUGAUGCAGCCAUGCCGCGUGUAUGAAGAAGGCCUUCGGGUUGUAAAGUACUUUCAGCGGGGAGGCGUUACCCGCAGAAGAAGCACCGGCUAACUCCGUGCCAGCAGCCGCGGUAAUUC
rnacentral:rRNA from 1 species